CCUACGGGAGGCAGCAGUGGGGAAUUUUGGACAAUGGGCGAAAGCCUGAUCCAGCAAUGCCGCGUGAGUGAAGAAGGCCUUCGGGUUGUAAAGCUCUUUUGUCAGGGAAGAAACGGUGGGAGCUAAUAUCUCUUGCUAAUGACGGUACCUGAAGAAUAAGCACCGGCUAACUACGUGCCAGCAGCCGCGGUAAUACGUAGGGUGCAAGCGUUAAUCGGAAUUACUGGGCGUAAAGCGUGCGCAGGCGGUUUUGUAAGUCUGAUGUGAAAUCCCCGGGCUCAACCUGGGAAUUGCAUUGGAGACUGCAAGGCUAGAAUCUGGCAGAGGGGGGUAGAAUUCCACGUGUAGCAGUGAAAUGCGUAGAUAUGUGGAGGAACACCGAUGGCGAAGGCAGCCCCCUGGGUCAAGAUUGACGCCCAUGCACGAAAGCGUGGGGAGCAAACAGGAUUAGAUACCCUGGUAGUCCACGCCCUAAACCGAUGUCUACUAGUUGUCGGGUCUUAAUUGACUUGGUAACGCAGCUAACGCGUGAAGUAGACCGCCUGGGAAGUCGGUCGCAAGNUUAAAACUUCAAAUUGAAUUGACGGGCGNGACGNGCGACGGACGACGACGAGGGAGGAGG
rnacentral:rRNA from 1 species